rnacentral:rRNA from 1 species
UGCAGUCGAGCGGGCCUAGCAAUAGGUCAGCGGCAGACGGGUGAGUAACGCGUAGGAAUCUACCUCAAAGUGGGGAAUAGCCUUCCGAAAGGAAGGGUAAUACCGCAUGUGAUCGCAAGAUCAAAGCCGUAAGGCGCUUUGAGAGGAGCCUGCGUCCUAUCAGUUAGUUGGUGGGGUAAUGGCCUACCAAGACUAUGACGGGUAGCCGAUGUGAGAGCAUGAUCGGCCACAAGGUUACUGAGACACGGAACCUACACCUACGGGUGGCAGCAACUGGGAAUCUUGCGCAAUGGACGAAAGUCUGACGCAGCGACACCGCGUGCGGGAUGAAGCCCUUAGGGGUGUAAACCGCUGUGGCGAGGGAUGAAAUUUUGACCGUACCUCGCUAGAAAGCACCUGCUAACCACGUGCCAGAAGCCUCGGUAAUACGUGGGGUGCGAGCGUUAUCCGGAUUUACUGGGCGUAAAGCGUGCCGUCGGCGACCUGAUAAGUUGCUUGUCCAAGCCUGGGGCUUAACUCCAGAAAGGCAGGCAAAACUAUCAGGAUUGAGUCUGUUCGGGGGAUUUGGAAUUCUCGGUGGAGGGGUGAAAUCCGUAGAUAUCGAGAGGAACGCCAAGCGCGAAGGCAGAAUCCUAGGACACGACUGACGCUCAUGGACGAAAGCUAGGGGAGCAAAAGGGAUUAGAGACCCCUGUAGUCCUAGCCGUAAACACUGAAUACUAGUUGUUC